rfam:Peniophora sp. CONT PENSPscaffold_149_Cont228, whole genome shotgun sequence.
GGCUCGAUGGUCUAGUGGUAAGAUACUUGCUUUGGGUGUAUAACCGUCCAAGAGAUGUGCAAGGGAUCCCGGGUUCGAACCCCGGUCGAGCCC